GGGUAUAGUUUAGUGGUAAAACGAGGGUCUCCAAAACCUUUGAUGUGGGUCCGAUUCCUACUACCC
rnacentral:tRNA from 1 species